UACGUAGGGUGCGAGCGUUGUCCGGAAUUAUUGGGCGUAAAGAGCUCGUAGGCGGCUUGUCGCGUCGUCCGUGAAAACCUGCGGCUCAACUGCAGGCUGGCGGUCGAUACGGGCAGGCUGGAGUUCGGUAGGGGAGACUGGAAUUCCUGGUGUAGCGGUGAAAUGCGCAGAGUAUCCGGAGGAACACCAGCGGCGAAGGCGGCUUUCUGGUCCGAUUCUGACGCGUGAGGCGCGAAAGCGUGGGGAGCGAGUCCGGC
rnacentral:rRNA from 1 species